AUGUGAUGCCGAUACUAUGGCA
rnacentral:siRNA from 1 species